GACAAGACAAGUUCUGUUCAAAAGGUUAUCAUGCCUUCCCAAAGCUACAGACCUGAGAUGUGGUCUAGUUGAUCCUUUAGACCGAGCUGUGUGUAGAGAAUACAGAUGGUCUCUGCAGGCAAGGUGGAUAGACCAGUCCUUCCCCCUCAUCAGACCCAUCAUCUGUUUACCAAGGAUGAUUAUCCAAAGUGCUAGGAAAUCCUGGAAGUACUCAACCAUAUUUCUCAUGCAGACAUGCUCGCAUCUUUGAACCCCAGAGAGACAGGAUGGGUGUGUCUACCCCAUAGGACCACCAUGAAGAUGGAAUGGACUAUACAUGGGUCUUCAUGGUCCUGUUGAAUACUACAAUAAAGUACUGAACAGAACAUGCAGAGAGGAAGGUCUGGGAAAUAGGCAGGUUUCUAAAGAAACCCUGUCCCAGAUGCCAUCAUCCCAAUAGUUUGGAAAACAGGAGCUGGUGUGAAACAGGAGCCUUUCCCUCUGUGCGCCUGCCUAUGCUGCUUCUGCUCUCUCCCAGGUGGCCUGAGCUGAGAACUGAGUACUGCCAUCCACUCUAGAGGGUUCUACUGCCUUUGAAGUCUGUAAUACAUCUCCUUGGUUCCGCUGCAUCAGCUAAACUCACCAAUCCACAGUAAAGACCAUCCCAUUGACCUUAUCACCAACGCCCCCAAAUGCUGUGGACUAAAACUCACCACUGACUGUGGACUAGAGGACCCUCGGGAAGAGGUAUAAAGACCUGCUGAGCAAGGAAGAGCAGAUGGAAGCAGGCUUUCAGGUACAUGAGGGGCUGCCAGGCGCUGGCUUCGGCUGGCUGAGCCAGGGGCCAUGCUCCACUGCAAAUGAGGACUAGGAACACCUGCUCCAGGGCUGCCAGGCCGCCACAGUCAUUCUUCACAUCUCAUGCAACACUUGUUCUGUCAGAGCACGGAGCUGGCGCAGGCGGGGGCAGCUUUCUGCCAGCUCCAUCCUGUCCCCCAUUCCUGACUGUUUCUGCACUCAAGUUCAGCUUUGAAUGCCUUUUCAAAGAAAUCUGUUAAAAAUGUAUUCAUUUUGUAUUAGCCAUUCAGUCAUUAUGUUAAGGGUUUGAAAAUAAAGAUUAAAAAACC